CGUGUGGUGUUUGGUGCUGGUAACGGUGAUCAAAUGGCGACACGGCCCAUGAUUGAGGU
ncrna:Aliagarivorans marinus DSM 23064 L31-Gammaproteobacteria ribosomal protein leader